rnacentral:rRNA from 1 species
GAUGAACGCUGGCGGCGUGCCUAACACAUGCAAGUCGAACGAACAGGCCCUGCGCUUGUGCGGUGCUCGAUUGCCGAACGGGUGAGUAUAACGCGUGUAACCUGCCCUUGUCUUUGGGAUAAAUUCAGGAGAAUGGGGCUAAUACCCGGUAGGAUCUCCUGCUGCAUGUGGGUGGUUAGAAAGUGUCGGCGUUUGGGGAUGGACUGGAGGCUUAUCAGCUAGUUGGUGGGGUAGUGGCGUACCAGGGCUUUGACGGGUAGCCGGCCUGAGAGGGUGACCGGGGACAUUAGGACUGAGAGACGGCCCAGACUGCUACGGGAGGCAGCAGGGGGAAGUAUUGCACAGCAGGCGGAAGCGUGUGGCGACAACGCCGCGUGCGGGAUGACGGGCUUCGAGUGGUAAACCGAUUUCGCCUGUGACGAGGCGGGAGUGACGGUAAUGGGUAAAGAAGCAACGGCUAACUACGUG